GCCCGGGACCGACUCAGCACAAUGGAGGGUUCCACUGCGCAUGAAACACGUGUCCUGCUUUAUGCCUUCAUGACACUUACCGCUCUCAGAAGUUGUCUUGAUAUAUUCGUUUGCCUCCUCCCUCCCAAAUGUAAACGGCAUCGGAGCGGGCUCCACGUCUUGAUCACCACCAUCUCCUCGGUGUGGUUUCCUGUGUUGGAGAAUUGCCUCACGUGUCUGGAGAUUCUCAGAUUUCUGUUCACAGUGAACCACGAGGAUUCCAAAGGCUGACAGGAAGCUCCUGUGUAUGUGCAGGGCUUGCUUACCUGCUAGGCUUCUUUGAAUGGUGAGGGAGUGUCCAGCUGUUAGCAUCUGGAAUUCCUUUCUCUGGGGCUAUUCAGUUUCUCAAAGAAUACCCCAGUCCUCUACAUGGCUAUCAGCCUUCUGGAAGCAAGGCAGACAAAGAAGGCUUGGGUGAAGGGAAAGGCUGAAUCCCAAAUGUGUAGAAUUUUCCUUACUCCUCCUCUCUCCAGCUUCUCGCCUCACCCUCAUUGCUGGGUGUCCUGCGUCUGCUGAAAGGCUGUUUAAUCUUUCCAGAGAAAAGUCCCUAAUUGGUCUCCCCGCUUCUGCCCUUGCCUCCCCUCCAGUCUGUUUUCAACUUAGAGCUGGAAUGGUCCUGUUAAAAUGUGGGUCAGAUCAGGUCAUUCCUCUGCUUAAAAUUCUCCGAUGCUUUUCCAUCUCAACAGAGUUAAAAACUAAAGGUCCCCUGCCCUCCAUGCUUACUUCUUGUCUUAUUACUUUCCCGUUUUCUCUCACCCCAUUCCAGCCAUGCUGGCCGCCUUACUGUCACUAGAACACACCAGGUAGGCUCCAGCCUUACGGCCUCUGCACUUGCUGUUCCAUUUACAUGGAAUGUGCAUUCACAGAUAUUUACAUGGCUUGCUCCCUCGCUCCUUUGGGUCUUCACUCAAAUGUCCCUUCUUAAUACAGCUUUCCCUGGCAGCCCUAACUAAAAUUGCAGCCCCCAGCCCCCAACAUACACACACUAUCUCCUUAUUUUGCUUUACUUUUCCCUUAAGUAUAAUCCCCAUCUGAUACACAAUAGUAUAUAUUUUCCUUCUUUUUGAAGUUGUUAGUUUACCGUCUGUCUAUUGUUGGUUUGCUGUUACUGUCUGUCUGUCUUUCACUAGGAAGUAACCCCCACGAAGGCAGGAAUUCAUUGCUCAAUUCACCAACAUCUAGAACAGGGCCUGGCACCCAAGAGGCAUUUAAUAAAUGUAUGUGAAAGAAAUAAAUAAGAAUAACUAAAUGAAGUGA